rnacentral:rRNA from 1 species
AAACGCUGGCGGCGUGUCUUAAGCAUGCAAGUCGAGCGGCAGGCGCAGCAAUGCGCUGAGAGCGGCGGACUGGUGAGUAACGCGUGGGUAAUCUACCUUUGGCAUGGGGAUAGCCGCUAGAAAUAGUGGGUAAUACCGAAUACGUUCCCUGGGGGGAGGUUUCAGGGAAGAAAGGGUGCUACGGCACCGGCCAAAGAUGAGCUCGCGUCCCAUUAGCUAGUUGGUGAGGUAACGGCCCACCAAGGCGAUGAUGGGUAGCCGGCCUGAGAGGGUGUACGGCCACACUGGGACUGAGAUACGGCCCAGACUCCUACGGGAGGCAGCAGCUAAGAAUAUUCCGCAAUGGACGAAAGUCUGACGGAGCGACGCCGCGUGGAUGAUGAAGGCCGAAAGGUUGUAAAGUCCUUUUGCUGGGGAAGAAUAAGUGUGGGAGGGAAUGCCCGCAUGAUGACAUGAACCGGCGAAUAAGCCCCGGCCAACUACGUGCCAGCAGCCGCGGUAACACGUAGGGGGCGAGCGUUGUUCGGAAUUACUGGGCGUAAAGGGCAUGUAGGCGGUCUGGUAAGCCUGGCGUGAAAGGCCACAGCUCAACUGUGGGAUUGCGUUGGGAACUGCUGGGCUUGAGUUAUGGAGA